AUUGAACGCUGGCGGCAUGCCUUACACAUGCAAGUCGAACGGCAGCACGGGUGCUUGCACCUGGUGGCGAGUGGCGAACGGGUGAGUAAUACAUCGGAACAUGUCCUGUAGUGGGGGAUAGCCCGGCGAAAGCCGGAUUAAUACCGCAUACGAUCCACGGAUGAAAGCGGGGGACCUUCGGGCCUCGCGCUAUAGGGUUGGCCGAUGGCUGAUUAGCUAGUUGGUGGGGUAAAGGCCUACCAAGGCGACGAUCAGUAGCUGGUCUGAGAGGACGACCAGCCACACUGGGACUGAGACACGGCCCAGACUCCUACGGGAGGCAGCAGUGGGGAAUUUAGGACAAUGGGCGAAAGCCUGAUCCAGCAAUGCCGCGUGUGUGAAGAAGGCCUUCGGGUUGUAAAGCACUUUUGUCCGGAAAGAAAUCCUUGACUCUAAUACAGUCGGGGGAUGACGGUACCGGAAGAAUAAGCACCGGCUAACUACGUG
rnacentral:rRNA from 1 species